rnacentral:lncRNA from 1 species
ACUAGACCAGUCUUUGUUAGGGCUUUGUUUUGAACUUGAAAUGGUGUUUUUUGUGAUAUUUAGGAACUUGAAUUUGAAUGAAGGUUUUGUUGUUAUUUGAUUUUGUUUAUGAAGAAGGAAUAUGUUAGUUUUGCAUUUCAGUUUACAAUCUUAUUUUGCACUUCAGUUUAAUAAUCCUAUUUUGCACUUCAUUUUACAAUCUUUUUUUGCACUUCAAUGUUGAUAAAAGCAAAUCCAUUUAUUGCAUUCAAAGUAUAGGCUACAAGAAGAU